CACGUCGUUCAGUCGAAAUUCAGUCGUAGUCGAGACGCCGGAGUAUUUUAAUACAAAAAAAAAAAGAAAAAUAUAACAGGGCUCGUUUCACACGUACUACGGGGAUCGUCAACUGAUAAUAAUAUUCUUAUCGUAUAUUAUAAUAUUUUUUUUUAUCUAUCUAUCUAUCUAUCUUUGUUUUAUCUCCAAUUUUAUAAAUAAAUUUUGCGCUAACAUUUCGAGAAUUUAUCUCGGGUUUUGAUUUCUUUUAUUGGUAAUAUUUGUAAUAUUUGAUAAAUACAAUUCGCGAAAUAAUUCAAAGGGUUUUCCGUCAUUUUCGUAAUCAUCAUCGUCACGUCUUUUGGCAACUUUGGCAUCAUUGGCAUCAUCGUCAUCAUCUUUGUGAAGAGAACGAGACGAGGAUGUUCAGAAGGUGUUGUAUCUUGACAGAUAUUUCACUUCGUACUGGAAAACUUCCAUAUUUAAUAUAAUCGUCCUAAAAAACGUGAACAAAGGAUUGAAACUCUCUCUCUCUCUUUCUCUCCCUCUCUUUUCCUUUUCAUCGUCAUUCAAAUAAAAGAAGAGAGAAAAUGACUCGCGGUUGCUUUUUACGAGAUGGAAAGAAGAAAAAGAAGAAGAAGAAAGAAAGAAAGAAAGAAGGAAUCAAGAACGAUGAUAACACUUUGACGGCUUCGAAGUAUUAUCCACCUGCGACGACGGCUCUUGCAAACUAACUGUGGUGGUGGCAGUAAGGACCAAAUAAAAGGGACAAAGAAAAUGGUUCUGAAAGAAGAGAACUUUGGGCAUAGACCUAAAAAUUUAACAGCAUUCACCACCGGAGGAGAUGAACCAGAAAGAGCACAGUAGAGUUAAGGACGCUCGGGAAGACAUAACCUCCUCUUACGAAAAAGAUGAAAAAAUAAAAAGGAAAAAAAAAUGGCUUUGAGGAGGGAGGGGAGGAUUGAAGAGAAGAAAGAGAGAGAGAGAGAAAGAAAAGACCGUUAGGAAGAAAAAAGAAGCAUAAUGCAGAGAAAAAGAUGGACACGUAAAGAAGAGAAUUCAAAGAUGGCGCGUAAAUGGUGCAUAGGUGGCACGCAAGUCGCGCUGGCGAUGCUGCUGCUGUUGCUGCUAUUGGUGGGGUGGUUUGUGGUGGGGUGUGGGGUACAAACUAACACCCUCCCCACCAUCACGAAAGCACACGGCGCAGAAAGAAGUGCCGUUGAAGCUGAGCAGUGAGCGAACGCAAAGCAAGAAAUCAGUCGCGCGCUGAACGUCGUUAUCUAUGUUUCCCGAGACGAGAAGAAGAAGAAAAAGAAGAAGAAUUUCACGGUGCAAAAUCGUGAAGCAGAACGCGAGAAUGGUGACGUUGAAAGAAGAGAGAAAAAGAAGAAGGUGAAGAAGUAGAAGAAGAACAUGGAGGAGGAGGAGGAGGAGGAUAGGAGGAGGGGUGGAUUGAAACGCGGCUUUUCUCGAACGGUUUUUGCAACCACGAAUGACGAUGAGAUGACUAUGGAUGACGAUGAUGAUUGUUCAUCGUCAAUGAAAGAAUAAACUUUUGGUUAUUUCCUGUUCUCUGAGUGUGUCUACGUUCUUUCGGAAAUUAAAACGCGUGCCCAAAGCCCCUUAUCAUUCUCCUGUCCGGUGUACAACCGUCAAACGACUGGACGGAGAACUGAUAAGGGCCCGAGGGUCACAGAAUCAUCCAUGAAGAGAAAGAAAAUUCCAUAGAUGUUUAAAAUGGCGUCGUCGUCGUCGUCGUGUUAUAUGUUCCCGGAAGAAGAUAGACGAAGAAAAGGGUUAGAAACUAGUAUCGGUUAAGAAACAUAAAUGAAAUAGCAAUAAUACAACAUGUAUAAUAGUAAUAUUAUUUAUAUAUUUUUUUUCAUAUUAUCAGUCCCACAAUAAAAGGGAAGAUUCAUCUGAGAAAAUGAAUGAUGAUAGAAAAAAAUGUACUUUGUUCAUUGUAGUAUUAAAAAAUGUGCGCAUAUAGGCGAAUAAA